rnacentral:tRNA from 1 species
GGAGAAGUACUCAAGUGGCUGAAGAGGACGGUUUGCUAAACCGUUAGGUCGGUCUUACCGGCGCGCGGGUUCGAAUCCCGCCUUCUCCG